ACUGACGUCUCGAUUUAAUUACAGAUCCCUUGUCCGCAGGUUGUGUGCAGACAUUUGUUCAGGAGUUUACAAUGAUCUUUCGCAUUUUAUUGGUAUUGGCCGUGGUGUCUCUUGCCGAUGGUUGCAGCGUAUGGUAUCAAAAGAACACAUGCACUUGCCGGUGUGAAGAUUUCUUCGACAUCUGUGAAAAUGGCUGCAAAAAUAUAGGAGGUAUCUGGGGUAUAACUUGUUCGUACAACUGUGCUAAACUUCUUUCGAGCUGUUUGAGGAAUUGUCCUUAAAAUUUUGUUGAAUUAUUACCUCAGAAAAAGAAAAAAUAAUAAAUGAUUUGAAGAUGCACAUCAACCAGCGACAGACUGUGAAUUCUGAAAUAUCCUCAAUACACUGACUUAAAUUAAAAAUGUUUUUUUUUUUAAAUUGAAACCUUUCCAGGCUAUAACUUUCCCUCUAUGAUACUAAAUAUGAUUUGUGAUGUUCAUCUAAAAUACUAUUACCAUCUUUUUCUGUAAUUGGAAUAAACUACUGUGCAAAUCA